UCUAAUGUGGCAGAAUAGUGCAAUGAAUUUAAGCUUCAUAUAUAAAGAUUUUUCUUUCAUUAGAA
rnacentral:tRNA from 1 species